CUGCAUCCUCAUAGGUGCCAGUAAGGUUCACUAACUGCUGAGCCAUGAUGGGAACUCCAAUCUUCAUUCUUUUAAGCUUCUAAGGCCUGGGGUGACUUGCUACACAGCAAUAGAUGAUUAAUGUGGAAAGCUUUUUGGUGAAACAAGCCACUCGCCCUUCUUAUGUCACUUUCAUCAUUUUUUAAAUCUCCUGACCCACUUCCUUACACUUCUCUAUUUUAUACCUUUUCGUUUUUCUUACUAACUUUUUUCUUACAAUGUUAUUUUUAUAGCAGUCAGUGUACAGAUAGACAUAACAAAGUUUAAGCCAAAAGUUUUAAUGGUUCAGAGGCUGAUACAAGAAAAAAAAAAUUGAGAUGUGAGUUUUUAUAAAUUCACCUCUGCUAUAAUCUAGGAGAUAUUUUGCUUUGGUAAAUUCUGCACUUUUAAAGAAUAGAUAGGCUUAAUGUGUAAAGUAUAUUUAUCUUCUCUGCUUUGUUCAUUUGUAGUGAUUUUUGGUAAAAAUUAUGCUUGUACUUUUUUUUUUUUUGUCUUUUUAGGGCCACACUUGCAGCAUAUGGAAGUUCCCAGGCUAGGGGUUGAAUCGGAGUUGUAGCUGCCGACCUACGCCACAGCCACAGCAAUGCAGGAUCCAAGCUGCAUCUGUGACCUACACCACAACUCACAGCAAUGCCAGGUCCUUAACCCACUGAUCGAGGCCAGGGAUUGAAGCUGCGUCCUCAUGGAUGCUAGUCAGAUUUGUUUCUACUGAGCCACAGACAGGAACUCCAAAAGACAGUUUUCAAUGUUGCCAGGGGGAAAACAUGAUUUUUUUUCCAAUUAUCAUCCGAGGAGGGAGUAGGUCACAAGGGUGGGUUUAUUCCCAGGGUGUGGGGAUGAAGGCGCCAUCAUUAACCCUUGAUGAGGGGUCUCCUAGUGGAGCUUUAAUGGUCACAGUUGCCAAGCUCUCAUCAAAAAUGCUGUCUCUCUUCUGAAUUCUUCUUCUCUCCCAUUUCUUUACUCACAGGGCUAAUUCUCUGCUAAGACCAUGGGUAAAUUUAGGUUGUUCUAAAUUAUGUACUAGGUAUUAUGCGCUGGGCUCUAGGAAUAUCAUAUUUGAUGGAUCAAAGACAACUGAGUGAAUCGGGAGUUAAAUUUUAAAUUGCUGCCAUGGCCUCUUUGUUCCAUGGAAUGGACUGGGCUUUCCAGUCGUUGGGCAGGUGGCCUGGGUUCCACGUGCUCUGCUGGGGCUCUGGAGCACGAGGGAUUCCUGACCGUCAUGAAGGUACUGAAGGAACAGCCUCCAUCCUGGUGGAAGGCAACUGGGGAUGCAUAUGGUGAAGAAGAAACUAAAAUUCACUUAGGCACUUGGCAUGAGAGCCCUUUGAUGAGCAGGGAGGAGAAAAAGAACAAAUAAAUCAGGGAAGAUGAUCUUGCACAUACUGUACUUUCACUUCUUGGCUAGCAAAAAACACAUAAAUUUAAUCAGAGGUUUAGUUAUGUUCCUAAAGAAAUAAAUCCC
rnacentral:lncRNA from 1 species